GGGGACAUAGCUCAGUUGGUGGAGUACUUGCCUUGCAUGCACAAGGCCCUGGGUUCGAUCCCCAGCACCA
rnacentral:tRNA from 1 species